GGGGAAUUUUCCGCAAUGGGCGCAAGCCUGACGGAGCAACGCCGCGUGAGGGAGGAAGGCCUGUGGGUUGUAAACCUCUUUUCUCAAGGAAGAACACAAUGACGGUACUUGAGGAAUCAGCAUCGGCUAACUCCGUGCCAGCAGCCGCGGUAAGACGGAGGAUGCAAGCGUUAUCCGGAAUGAUUGGGCGUAAAGCGUCUGUAGGUGGCUUGUUAAGUCUGCUGUUAAAGCACAGGGCUUAACCCUGUAUAGGCGGUGGAAACUGAUAAGCUUGAGUAGGGUAGGGGUAGAGGGAAUUCCCGGUAUAGUGGUGAAAUGCGUUGAUAUCGGGAGGAACACCAAAAGCGAAAGCACUCUACUGGGCCAAUACUGACACUGAGGGACGAAAGCUACGGUAGCAAANNGGAUUAGAUACCCCAGUAGUC
rnacentral:rRNA from 1 species